rnacentral:rRNA from 1 species
GAUGAACGCUGGCAGCGUGCCUAAUACAUGCAAGUCGAACGAAACUUCUUUAUCACCGAGUGCUUGCACUCACCGAUAAAGAGUUGAGUGGCGAACGGGUGAGUAACACGUGGGCAACCUGCCCAAAAGAGGGGGAUAACACUUGGAAACAGGUGCUAAUACCGCAUAACCAUAGUUACCGCAUGGUAACUAUGUAAAAGGUGGCUAUACUACCGCUUUUGGAUGGGCCCGCGGCGCAUUAGCUAGUUGGUAGGGUAAAGGCUUACCAAGGCAAUGAUGCGUAGCCGAAUUGAGAGGUUGAUCGGCCACAUUGGGACUGAGACACGGCCCAAACUCCUACGGGAGGCAGCAGUAGGGAAUCUUCCACAAUGGGCGAAAGCCUGAUGGAGCAACGCCGCGUGGGUGAAGAAGGUCUUCGGAUCGUAAAACCCUGUUGUUAGAGAAGAAAGUGCGUGAGAGUAACUGUUCACGUUUCGACGGUAUCUAACCAGAAAGCCACUGCUAACUACGUG